AGAGUUUGAUCAUGGCUCAGGAUAAACGCUGGCGGCGUGCUUCAGGCAUGCAAGUCGAACGGACACUACGGUGUCAGUGGCGGACGGGUGAGUAACACGUAAGUAACCUGCCCAGAAGUGGGGAAUAACUAGCCGAAAGGCUGGCUAAUACCGCAUGUGAUGGUCCUUCUCUGGAGGGAUCAUGAAAGGCGAAAGUCGCUUCUGGAGGGGCUUGCGGUCGAUUAGCUUGUUGGUGGGGUAAUGGCCUACCAAGGCUGCGAUCGAUAGCUGGUCUGAGAGGACGGUCAGCCACACGGGGACUGAGAUACGGCCCCGACUCCUACGGGAGGCAGCAGCUAGGAAUCUUGGGAAUGGGCGAAAGCCUGACCCAGCAACGCCGCGUGAGCGAUGAAGGCCUUCGGGUUGUAAAGCUCUUUUGCAGGGGAAGAUGAUGACGGUACCCUGCGAAUAAGCCACGGCUAACUACGUGCCAGCAGCCGCGGUAAUACGUAGGUGGCAAGCGUUGUCCGGAUUUACUGGGCGUAAAGGGCGUGCAGGCGGUCUGUUAAGUCUAGGGUGAAAGCUCCCGGCUCAACUGGGAGAGGUCCUUGGAUACUGGCGGACUUGAGGGAGGCAGAGGAAAGUGGAAUUCCCGGUGUAGUGGUGAUAUGCGUAGAUAUCGGGAGGAACACCAGUGGCGAAGGCGGCUUUCUGGGCCUUACCUGACGCUGAGACGCGAAAGCGUGGGGAGCGAACCGGAUUAGAUACCCCUGUAGUCC
rnacentral:rRNA from 1 species